rnacentral:rRNA from 1 species
GAUGAACGCUAGCGACAGGCUUAACACAUGCAAGUCGAGGGGCAGCGAGGGCGUAGCAAUACGCCUGUCGGCGACCGGCGCACUGGUGAGUAACACGUAUGCGACCUGCCCCCUACAGGGGUAUAACCCGUAGAAAUGCGGACUAAUCCCCCAUAGUCCCGCGGGCUGCAUGGCCUGCGGGGGAAAGGGUUUCCGGUAGGGGAUGGGCAUGCGGCGCAUUAGCUAGUUGGCGGGGCAACGGCCCACCAAGGCGACGAUGCGUAGGGGUUCUGAGAGGAAGGUCCCCCACACUGGUACUGAGACACGGACCAGACUCCUACGGGAGGCAGCAGUGAGGAAUAUUGGUCAAUGGGCGAGAGCCUGAACCAGCCAAGUAGCGUGCAGGAUGACGGCCCUAUGGGUUGUAAACUGCUUUUAUAAGGGAAUAAAGUGGGUCACGUGUGACUUUUUGCAUGUACCUUAUG